UCCGAGUUGCGGGAGCGCGCGGUAGGACCGAGUCAGGGGGUUGCAGAGGACGAGGGUCUUGGUGGACUGCUUCGGAUCUGAGGCGGCGCCAUUGCUGGGGCCGCCGGAGGCCACCGCGGGGGCGGCGCCGCCGGAGUCCGCCCAGAGGUAGAGCAGGGAGGGGGAGGCCGUGAUGGGCAAGGAGGAAGGGAAGGGGAGGAAGGAGAGGGGCAGGCGGAACCACUGGUUCUCCGCGGGAUCGAAGGUGUGGAGAUCUGCGGAGGGGUGGCGGUGCGGGUGACGGAGCGCCAGCAAGGGGAAGGGCGGUAGCAGAGCCAAGAACGGCGGCGAUGCG
rnacentral:lncRNA from 1 species